UACAGAGGGGGGCAAGCGUUGUUCGGAAUUACUGGGCGUAAAGGGCGCGUAGGCGGCCUCCUAAGUCAGACGUGAAAUCCCUCGGCUCAACCGGGGAACUGCGUCUGAUACUGGGAGGCUUGAAUCCGGGAGAGGGAUGUGGAAUUCCAGGUGUAGCGGUGAAAUGCGUAGAUAUCUGGAGGAACACCGGUGGCGAAGGCGGCAUCCUGGACCGGUAUUGACGCUGAUGCGCGAAAGCCAGGGGAGCAAAGCGGG
rnacentral:rRNA from 1 species